AAAAAGGAACAAAAAGUAGGUUGGAAUGGGAGCCAUAAGCCAUAAGAGGUACAUUUUUCCGAGUAUGAGUGUAAAAAAAAAACUGGCCGGUACAGUAUAACGAAAAACGAAAUAAUGCAUUAUUUUCAAUUCCAGGAUAAUGCAAAAAGGCACAUUCCACCUCGCCGUGCAUCCCCAAUGCUAGCUGGUUGCUGGUAUUUGGUAUAUGUUUCCAGUGAAAGCAUUUCAUCAGAUACCUAGCUCAUAGCUGCAAUCUCCUGUCUGGUGGUGACUUCAUCCCUUAGCUAAUAUUGCCUUAAGGGCCAAUACAAUGGAAAGGAAGCGCGACUUGAACUGGUUCCCAAAAUAGCAACAUUGUUCUCUGCAACACCCUCUCCCUCCCCUGUACUUAUCAUAGUUUUUUCAAGUUGAAGUAGAAAAGUGUGAACACAUAGGUACCUAUUUAUUAUUGUUUGUCAGUAGGUAAUAGGUAUACAGUGCUUUUUUUACUCUCAUUUUGUUGUAUCCCUAGGUACUUUGUAAAAAAUCAAAUGCUCUUACUCUUGCUCUAAAAAAAAACAAGUUGAUGAAUUUCAAUUUUGAAAACCUUGAUUUUUUCAUUUCUCUACACUUUUUUUUGACCUUAGAUGAUCGAAACUAGUGCAUAUAAAAAAAAGAAAAAAAAAUAACGAAAAAAACGUUAUUAACGAAAAAAAACGUUUUUUAAAAAAACCAAACGAAACGUUAUAUAACGAAAACGUAAUUUUUUUAAAAUUGAAAACGAAAACGAAAAACGAAAACGAAAUCAUUUCGUUUUCACAACGCUGCAUCAAGUUGGAGAAAAAUCUACAAUACAGUUUAAUUUUCAAAUCUACUUCUUAGACCAGCCAUGCUAAAGCUGCUAUGCUAUGAUGGAUAAUGGAUAUUAAACAAGAAAUCAUCAGUAUCUCAAACCAAUUGAAGCAGCUUUAAAUUCCAAAAUACUUAGGAUGGAUUUCAACAGGCUUAAAUACAAUGUUUGCAAAGAAUUUCGAGAGAAAUCUCCGUCAUGUAUGCAAUGUUUGGUGAUCGUUUUAUAUACCUUAGUCUUUGAGUUGGAGAUUAUGUUCGCGUAUAUUCGGUAAUAUUUACAAUAAUUUGUAUGUGUUGUACUUCUUUGCUAUAUUCCUCAUUGUCAGCUGUCAUCCUCCAGAGUUUUUCUUGAUAUUCUUUUAGAAAUUAGAUCAUAAACGAGUGUAGUUCUCAUCGUUAAUGAUAAAAACAGUGUUGAUUAUGAGCUUAUAUUUACUUAUACUUAUUUUUCCAUUCAAAUCAUUCCCUCUUGAUCUCAAAUUGAUUAUUAAGUAUCAGAAUGUGAUUCAAAACGCAAAAUAAAAUGUUCUCGGUAUUUAUUUCGUUCUAGUGCAUUAAUAUUUCAUUCAUUUCUAUAGUGUUAUCGGAGUACAUACUGUCUAUUAGUGAUGACGUCACAAAACAGCGCUCAGGCCUUUUACUAUAGGUGGUAUUGACCCUACACCCUACUUUUCUAACUUUUCUCAACUUACAAAAUCAUUGUAAUUGUUAAGAUGAACCUUGGAAUGGGUGAUGAUUUAUCCGAAACAACAAGUAAUACGGACGAAGGAAUGGAUGAUGAUGACUCGUCAUUCGGAGAAACUGAAAGGUAUUAAGAUCUUUUUGUUAAGUUUAGAAAUGUGUCCUCGGACAGUAGUCUGAAUUGGAGUCUAGAUUAAUCAAAGAACGGUAUGAAAUGUAACGCCGACUUCGAAGAUCCUGUUUAGUGUUUAGGCUGUUUAUCUAGACAUUUGAAUCCUGUUCGCAGGGUACGUGGAGGGAGGGGUUCAGUGUCAGUGCCUCCGCCUCCUCCAGCUCCGGCUCUUGAAUUUUUAGAAAAUUUACCUCCAGCUCCUGCUCUAAGGAUUUUUUGUAAGUGCCUCCGGCUCUGGCUCCGGCUCCAACCUCCAUAUUUUUUCAAUCCCUCCAGGAGGCCCUCCAGGACGCGGCAGCUUGAGGGGCACCUCCUUACAAUAAAAAUGAGGUUUGUGAACCUUGAUAAGUGCCAAAAUGGGGCCUCCUUAGUCCUUACAAUAAAACGAUGAACAUAGAGAACCUGAUGUAUCCGAAGUUCGCAAAUCAGAACUGAUUAAAGAACAUAAAAAAGCUGCAUCGCGUAUUCCAGCGCCGUCGUCCGAAUUUUCCGAGUUGAUACAUUCUCCGGUGUUUGUCGAUAAAUCCUCCGUUAUUGCAGCGAUAAUGGAACCUGGGGCGAGCUCUUUCCUGGUUACGGCGCCCAGGGGCUGUGGAAAGAGCUCUAUAGCACAGAUGCUCAAAACGUUUCUCACGAUUCAAGUUACAGAGGAUGGGAUACCAAUAUCUAAAUCUUUGGAAGAACUGUAUCAUGGAGAAUUCGACCAAGGUGGAAACCCUAUUGAUGAAAACGGCGAAAUCAUCCCUAAUCGGAUAUCAGCUAAGGAAUUGAGAAUGCGACCUGUGAAGGAUACCAGCCAUUAUGAAUUGUUCACAAAUCCCAUACCUGGAAUUCCCGGACAACCCCGUUAUUUGAGCAUCUCUAAAGAUGAAAACAUGAUGACCGGGCACUUGGGAAAGUAUCCAGUGGUUUACGUAAACCUGACAUGUGGUGAAACGGACUCGUACGAAAAUUUACUACGGUCCGUUCAAUCUGCGAUAUCAAAGUCUUACAAGAUGCAUGCGUAUCUUAUCGAUUCUAAAAAACUCCUACGAGGAGACCGAAAUGCUUGUAAACAGUGGUGCGACGCUGAAAAAUGCCACGAGAUGAGUGAAGAACGAACUAGAGUAACUCUCAAGAAUUUAACACGAUAUCUGUACAAACAUUUCAAUCGGCGAUGUUACGUGAUUGUAGAUGAGAUCGACGCCAUCGCUAUGUCAUGCUUGUUUUCAGUGAAAGACGACGACGGUGUCUUCGAAAAAAUUACCCGUUUUAUCACCUCCGUGAUGUAUGCGUUAAUUAAGUCCAACAACUACAUCAGAUCAGGAUUUUUAACUGGAAUUACCCAAAUUGUGACCGUCGACAAUGUUCUUUCGCGCCGAUUCCUGCAAAGUGAAUCUUUUUUUCCAUAUUAGGUACGGUUUUACUGAACGCGAAGUAAAAGACAUCCUGUCAAGAUUCCCACUUUUAAAGGACCGAUUCGCAGACGUUGCAAACUAUUGCAAUGGCUAUCAUUCGGACACCAAUUCUGAAAAAGUAAUCUUCAAUACUGGGUCCGUCGUGAAUUAUGUUAAAUCAAGAAAACAUGGUAGUUAUUGGAGUACAUCUGGCAAGAAAAAUCGCGAACAAGCUUCAGGAGUACUUCUUGAGAAACAUUAUUUCGAAGCGUACGAGACUGAUAAUAAAAAGUAUAUUCGUAUCGGUAUGACCGUCCACGAAGCAAGUUAUGUUACCAAGUGUGCGUUGUUUAAUUAUCGUGAUAUAAAUUGGAAGAUCGAUUUUCCAAGGAUUCAAAAACGGAAGAUCGAUUUUCCAAAGAUUCAUUCUUCGUAAACUGAUUUUAUAAUGCGAAAGUUAUAUUUUUAUCAUCUUAUGAUUUCUUUUUACUUCAGAUAGUUGUUGUGAAAAAGAGAAACAUUAUUUUGUAAUUCAAUUCUGUAGUGUUUAUAGGUAAAUAAAAGCUCAAAA